rnacentral:rRNA from 1 species
AACGAACGCUGGCGGCAUGCCUAACACAUGCAAGUCGAACGAGACCUUCGGGUCUAGUGUCGCACGGGUGCGUAACGCGUGUGAAUCUGCUCUUAGGUUCGUCAUAACUCCCCGCCAGGGGUGCUAAUACCGGAUAAUGUCUUCUCCCCAACGAUUUAUCGCCUUUGGAUUUGCCCGCGUUGGAUUAGCUAGUUGGUAGGGUAAAAGCCUACCAAGGCGACGAUCUAUAGCUGGUCUGAGAGGAGGAUCAGCCACACUGGGACUGAGACACGGCCCAGACUCCUACGGGAGGAAGCAGUGGGGAAUAUUGGACAAUGGGCGAAAGACGGAGCCAGAAAUGCCGCGUGAGUGAUGAAGGAAUUAGGGUAGUAAAGCUCUUUUACCCGGGAUGAGAAUGACAGGACCGGGAGAAUAAGCUCCGGCUAACUCCGUG